CGGACGGGUGAGUAACGCGUGGGCAACCUGCCCUGUACUGGGGGAUAACACCUGGAAACAGGUGCUAAUACCGCAUAAGCGCGCUGUGCCGCAUGGCGCGGCGCGGAAAAACCCCGGUGGUACAGGAUGGGCCCGCGUCUGAUUAGCUGGUUGGCAGGGUAACGGCCUACCAAGGCGACGAUCAGUAGCCGGCCUGAGAGGGUGGACGGCCACACUGGGACUGAGACACGGCCCAGACUCCUACGGAAGGCAGCAG
rnacentral:rRNA from 1 species